rnacentral:rRNA from 1 species
GACGAACGCUGGCGGCGUGCUUAACACAUGCAAGUCGAACGGAAAGGCCCUGCUUUUGUGGGGUGCUCGAGUGGCGAACGGGUGAGUAACACGUGAGUAACCUGCCCUUGACUUUGGGAUAACUUCAGGAAACUGGGGCUAAUACCCGAUAGGAGCUCCUGCUGCAUGGUGGGGGUUGGAAAGUUUCGGCGGUUGGGGAUGGACUCGCGGCUUAUCAGCUUGUUGGUGGGGUAGUGGCUUACCAAGGCUUUGACGGGUAGCCGGCCUGAGGGGGUGACCAGCCACAUGGGGACUGCGAUACGGCCCAGACUCCUACGGGAGGCAGCAGUGGGGAAUAUGGCACAAUGGGCGGAAGCCUGAUGCAGCAACGCCGCGUGCGGGAUGACGGCCUUCGGGUUGUAAACCGCUUUCGCCUGUGACGAAGCGUGAGUGACGGUAAUGGGUAAAGAAGCACCGGCUAACUACGUG